rnacentral:rRNA from 1 species
AAGUCGAACGGAGUUAUUUUGGCAGAAGCCUUCGGGUGGACGCUGAUAUAACUUAGUGGCGAACGGGUGAGUAACACGUGAGCAACCUGCCCUUCAGAGGGGGACAACAGUUGGAAACGACUGCUAAUACCGCAUAAGACCACGGUGUGGCAUCACACAGAGGUCAAAGGAGAAAUCCGCUGAAGGAUGGGCUCGCGUCCAAUUAGCUAGAUGGUGAGGUAACGGCCCACCAUGGCGACGAUUGGUAGCCGGACUGAGAGGUUGAUCGGCCACAUUGGGACUGAGACACGGCCCAGACUCCUACGGGAGGCAGCAGCGGGGAAUAUUGCACAAUGGAGGAAACUCUGAUGCAGCGACGCCGCGUGAGGGAAGAAGGUCUUCGGAUUGUAAACCUCUGUUGUCAGGGACGAUAAUGACGGUACCUGACGAGGAAGCCACGGCUAACUACGUGCCAGCAGCCGCGGUAAAACGUAGGUGGCAAGCGUUGUCCGGAAUUACUGGGUGUAAAGGGAGCGCAGGCGGGAGAGCAAGUUGGAAGUGAAAUCUGUGGGCUCAACUCACAAAUUGCUUUCAAAACUGUUUUUCUUGAGUGGUGUAGAGGUAGGCGGAAUUCCCGGUGUAGCGGUGGAAUGCGUAGAUAUCGGGAGGAACACCAGUGGCGAAGGCGGCCUACUGGGCACUAACUGACGCUGAGGCUCGAAAGCAUGGGUAGCAAACAGGAUUAGAUACCCUGGUAGUCCAUGCCGUAAACGAUGAUUACUAGGUGUGGGAGGAUUGACCCCUUCCGUGCCGCAGUUAACACAAUAAGUAAUCCACCUGGGG